rnacentral:rRNA from 1 species
AGUGAACGCUGGCGGCGUGCUUAACACAUGCAAGUCGAACGGUAGCAGAUAGAAGCUUGCUUCUAUGCUGACGAGUGGCGCACGGGUGGGUAAUGUAUAGCUAACGUGCCCCUUAGAGGGGGAUAACAGUUGGAAACGGCUGCUAAUACCCCAUACUCCUUCUAUCUUAAUGAUAGUUGGGAAAUGUUUUUUCGCUAAGGGAUCGGGCUAUAUGGUAUCAGCUAGUUGGUGAGGUAAUGGCUCACCAAGGCAAUGACACCUAGCUGGUCUGAGAGGAUGAUCAGCCACACUGGAACUGAGACACGGUCCAGACUCCUACGGGAGGCAGCAGUGGGGAAUAUUGCACAAUGGGGGGAACCCUGAUGCAGCAACGCCGCGUGGAGGAUGACGCAUUUCGGUGCGUAAACUCCUUUUAUAUAGGAAGAUAAUGACGGUACUAUAUGAAUAAGCACCGGCUAACUCCGUGCCAGCCGCCGCAGUAA